rnacentral:rRNA from 1 species
AGCGCGCGCAGGCGGUUUCUUAAGUCUGAUGUGAAAGCCCACGGCUCAACCGUGGAGGGUCAUUGGAAACUGGGGAACUUGAGUGCAGAAGAGAAAAGCGGAAUUCCACGUGUAGCGGUGAAAUGCGUAGAGAUGUGGAGGAACACCAGUGGCGAAGGCGGCUUUUUGGUCUGUAACUGACGCUGAGGCGCGAAAGCGUGGGGAGCAAACAGGAUUAGAUACCCUGGUAGUCCACGCCGUAAACGAUGAGUGCUA